AUCACUUCUUGGCCUUUUGGCUAAGACCAAGUGUAGUAUACCCUUCUUGUAGGCAAAUGUCAUCAUUUACACCCAUCUAAAAAGCAUGUGUGUAUGUUUAAGAUACUUUCCUGUGAACAAUUUCCUUAUUAAUUAUUUUGUUGAAAAUUCCAAA
rnacentral:snRNA from 2 species